CCACUGCACUCCAGCCUGGUGACAGGGCAAGACUCUGUCUCAAAAAAAAACAAAAAACAAAAGACAAACAGAAAACAACUUACUGUUCAUAUGAAUGGUUUAAUUUCCUAAUUAUUUUCUAUUUGUAGACACAGACUUGGCCAUGAUCUGAGAAAUUUAUCAAAUCAACAGUUAAAAAGUAUGAUUUUUAGGGCACAGAUGAUUUUUAGGCCAUCGAAAAAUACUCUGAGAUACACUAUAAUGGUGAAUUCACGUUAUUAUACAUUUGUCUAAACCCAUGGAAUGUACAACACCAAGAGUGAGCCCUAAUGUAAACUAUGGACCCUGGACAAUGAUGAUGUGUUGAUGUAGGUUCAUCCACUGUAACAAAUGGACCACUCUGGUAAGGUAUAUUGACCCUAGGGGAGGAUGUGCCUUGCUAAGAGAUGUGGUGUGUAGGAAAUCUCUAUCUUCUGCUCAACUGCGCUGCAAACCUAGAGGUGAUCUUAAAAUUUGUCUAAAAAAAAAGGUUGCAAAUAUCAAAGGAUUAUUUUCCUCAUUGCAUAAUUUCAUUUGGAAAAAAAUCCGUAGGUUGAACUCAAAGUUAUAAAAAACUAGCUCUAGGCGUUUUAUCAGGAGUAGGAUUGGGGCACCUCUCAAACAAGAGGUUUUCAGUGCUAUUAGCUUCUAAAUUCUAGGAACUUUCAAAAAACAUUUGCAUUCAUCAUCAGAGAAAAUUUCUUGAGCAACUUUGUGUGGAUUUGGGUUUCAGGAUUUCUCACCAAAUUCCAGCCACUCCACACUUGCCUUCCUCCAAAUCUUACUAGCAUUAAAUGAAAACCUUUUCAUUGCUAGAAAUAGGUGCUGGCAAGUACAUUAAACUAGGCUGCAUCAAAUACUUGCAAUGUAAUCUGUAAAGCAUACACCUUAUUGUUAGCUUGGGAAAGCACUUACAUAGCUUGCUUUUACUUUCACAUCUUGCUGUUUAUGACAUAUUCAAGGAAGUAAAGAUGUUAUCAUAUAAUGUCCAACAACCAAACUGGAGUCACGUCUUUUGCAAGUGGCCAACUGAACUAGUAGUACAGGUAAACUAGAUAUGAAAGGCAAAACAGAGAAGCUUCCUAACAAAUUAAAGCACUCAGCAUAAUACCUUAACCAAGACAUGCCACAUAACCCGAGGAUUAAUUUAAUUAGCAUUACAUAAUGUUCUCUGAAAACUGAAUUACCUCCCAUCUCACAGUUUGAGAUAACAUCCUGUCAUCCAUCAUCACUGGGAAAAUCAUGGGUUCUCCAGUCCAAUUCACAUUGAGGCAAUUAUGUCUAGCUAAUAAGAAAUGUCAAGGAAUAAAUAUAGGCUACAACACUAAUUUUAUAUAUAUUUUAAGUCUGAUACUUAACACCUGUUAUAGCCCUACUCAGAAGAUGAUAAAUAAAUAAAUCUACAUAUUUUAUUUUUUUCAACUCUUCAACCCAAUCUAUAAUUUUAUAAUUCCUGUAAAUUUAUUUCUAUGGCUAAUACCUUUUAAAAAAUUGUUUGAGGACGUUACUAACGCUUACUUCUGCUCCAAGAAAGACAGACUAAAUUUAUGAAUUCCCCCUAGAAUAUAAAAGAAGUCAGGGUUGGGGGAGGACAGCAGGAAAAGCUGUUUUCCCAUUAAAAUUAAAUCCUUUCUCUUGACAUUUUUGGAUGUGGAAGUCUCUCUCCUCCCAUUUUGGCAACCUCUCUUCUCCUUCCCUUGGUGUCCCCUGGCCUGGACAUCACAGCCUGGCUGGGUGGCCACGAAUGUGCUGGGGGUCCCGGAGUCACAGAGUGCUCCAGAAAGCAUCUACAUGGAGUCCUGGGCACUGUAUUCAACCACGUGGCAGUAGAACUCAUUAUUUCCAGGACAUGUUGCUAAGACAGAAUAGAGCAGCCAAUAAAGUAUAUCAUCUACCAGCUUCCACAUUUAGCAGACUUUUAAAAGUUUGAAAGCAUGAACAGUGUUGUCUGUUCAUGCUUUCUGUUAACAGAGAAAAUUAACCUUGAUAACUAGCAGAUCCACAAAUGCCUAGGAAAAGCAUGGGAAUCAUUUUUUUCUUUAAAGUUGGAGUUGUGUUGUUUUUAGCCAUUUUGAUAUUACCUGCUGGUGUGUUUCAUGUAGUUCUGAAGAACCAUGUCCAUUAAAAAUAACUUGAAAACAGAAUUAAUGUCACAUAAUUCGCCUUUUAUUAUGUAUUAUAAUUUUAAAGAUUAAAAAAUGAAAAAUGUUAGCAAAUUAACAGUAAAGAUAUUUUAAAAGGGAACCGCAUUUAUCUACAUAUUCUAAUGAAGAGAUAAUGAUACCACUAUUGUAUAAAGACACUCUCAUUUUACAGAAGCUCAAUGAACAUGUUUACAAUGGAAAGACUAUUAGCUCAACUAAAUUAAGACUAUGCUUUUUCGGCUAAGUAUGUUUUAGAGAUUUUGGAAACAAAAUUAACUUACAUAAAUGAUUAAAUAUUAAUUUAGAAUUUUGACUUGAUUUUUAAGUUUGAUAUUUACGUAUUACUUAAUGUAUCUACUAUCUGAACUUAAAUGAAUUAACUCAUCUAAAUUAACAAAAUAUAUAACCCCUCCUCACUGUGAUACUAAAUAUUUGGUUGAGUAAUUUCUUUUCAUUGAAAAAUUGAUUAUGUUGGUACUAUAUAACUAUCAUCUCAUAGUCUUACAGUAAUAAGACUUUACAAUAAAAUAUACUAAGGUAUUUCCUUCUUGAAGAACGUUCAACUGUGUUUGAAGGUGAAGAUAAAUUCUAGUGAUUCUUUUCAUAACAGCACAUAAAAUUCAUUCAUCAGUUCCUUAGGGGACAAAUGUUUCCUUUUUGUGUCCAAGGGUAAUAGCUCUGAAUAGAAAACUAAUGAAAUAGAAAUUGCUUUGUCCUACAGCCAAAAAAGACCUUCAGAAGGAAUAAGCCUGUCAAGAUAAUGGUAUUUUUAUGUGUUUUGUUUUGUUGUAUUGUUGGUUUUUGUAUGUGGAUUUUAAUAUCUCAUACCACAGUUAAACCAUAAUUACUCAUGCUGCAUUCUCCGUAUCACCUGCUCAAGAAAUACAUCAUAAUCUGUUUCAGAACUUAGAAAACAAUACAAAGUAUAAUACCAACUGAUCUUGACAAUGUCAUCACCUCAUUACCAAAUUGAGUAGUGAAUUCUCAGUUAUCUUACUAGAUAACUUAUCUUACUAGAUAACUGAGAAUAUGAUUUUCACAACUGAUCCCUUCCUAUUUCACGCACUUUCUACAUUUGGCCUCCUGGAUACCACAGUGUCCUUUCCUUUCUCCCACCCCCUUCAGGUACUUUUGCUCAUUCUCUGUUACUUACUCUCUUCAACUCCUUAACUUCCAAUGUUGGUGUAGCCAUAGCGCUAACCUCUUCUCUCUCUUCACUCCCUCCUUUGUGACUGCACCCAAUACCAUAGCUUCAGACGUCAUCUGUGUGUUGAUGACUACCGAAUGUGUACCUCUAGCUCAGAAAUCUCCACCAUAGUCCAAUAGUCCGAGCCCAUAUGUAUACUUUCUGCUUGGCACCUCUGGUUAAUAUUUAAUAGACAUCUCAGAAAACCACCUGAUAUUUUCCCCACCAAACCUGCCUCCCACUCUCCCAUUCCCGAAGUCUUCUCCAUUUCAAUUACUGACAACUCUAUUCUUCCAGUUUGCAGGACAAACCAAAGAAACAGCCUCUAUACUUCUUUCUUUCACAUAUACACAAUCUGUCCACAUAUCAACUGUGUUGGUUCUACUUUCUAGUGAGACUUACAACCCAAUGGCUUCUCAUCACCUUGUACAAGCCCCUCUCCAGACUCAGCUGGAUCAUCAUAUUAGUUCCUAACUGAUCUCUACUGACACUCUUGCUAUACUUUUCUAUUUUCAAUACAGUGUCAAGUAAGUCAGGUCAUGUCCCUCUUCUAAGCAUAACCCUCCACUGUUUCCUAUUCAAUGCAAAGGAAAAGCCAACACCUACCAUGAUGCCUUCUAAGGCCUUAUCUGAUCUGCCUUCCUCACCACCACUCCCCAACUUCAGUCUAUGAACCACUGUCCCAUCAUUCAAGGAAAAUGACUUCUCUCCUAUUCUACUCAUCUCCAAGUUUUCCUGGUUUUGCAUACUUUUACACAAAUACAAACUCAAGGAAAUAUUUCUCUUCAAUGCAUUCUGUGGAGUUUUAAUACUCACAUAGCUUGUUUUUCUUUUUCUACACUGUAUCCUUUUAAUCCAGUGACGUAUUAUACAUUCAUCCUUUUUUAAUUUGACCCAAGCAUGUUUUUCCGUAAAUACUACCACAGUUUUCCCAGGGUACCUUGAAUUUGGUGCGUCUCUGCCCAGGGGUUUUUGUCCUCUUUUCACACCCUACUCCAGCUCUUUGGUUUCAACUGUUGACCAUACAAACCACUCAGAACAACAUGUAAUAAUGGUGGGAAAGUGAAACAAAAAAUAAAUAUCAAAAUUUCCAACAGACAAUAUGGUGCUUAAAAGCAAGCAUAUAAUGGUUACUACAAGAUGAUAAAAAAUUUAGCUUUGAACUCCCUAAUAUCAUUGUAAAGGAAACAUUUGACUAGUUAGGUCAUUCUAAUUUUCUUACUGUAUAAGAAACAUCUGUACUCAAGAUUAAUUUUUUUCUUAUAUUUAGCACUGUUAUUCUAUAGAAGACACAUCUAUAUUCAAGGUUUACUUUUUCCUUAUACUUAGCACUGAUACUCUACAUGUAAUAUAAAGGGAGCUUUAACAAGCAGCCAAUGAGAUUUAUCAUUGUGUUUGUUUCAGAAGUGUUGAGAAUGUCUCUAAAGGCAUUAGACAACAGAAGACUUACAUUGUUAGUGUCAUGAUAGUUCUUACUCUUAGGCAAUAGUUUUGCCUUUGUUUUUGUUUACAAUAUGGGCACUGUAAAUAUUGUACCUAACAGGUUUCCAUAUUAGCUUUUGCUGCAAUGAAGCUUAAAGACAAAUUUGUCAAUCCUGUCUAAUAAAUAUAUAAUAUUUCAUGGCAAUAGUAAUUCUACAGAAAAUAUAUUUCCCCUUCUCCAUUUCAUCUCUAAAUUCUGAGUGAACUAUAACUGGAUGAUUUACUAUGAAAUAUCUUGUUCUUUUGUAUUAUUUUUCAUAUUUUAUUUCAUCUUGACAUGUUUGUGUCUUGUAAGUUGUCUUAAAUGCUUUCAAAUAUAUUGGAAAUAAAAGAAAAAUAUAUAAAGAGGCACUGAAUAAUAUGAGGGGACUUCAAAAAGUUUGUGAAAAAUUGAAAAAUAAAAUAAAAUGAAAAAGAUAAACUAUUUUUCAACAUAAGCUCCAUCAAGGUCAAGACACUUUUGUAAGUGAUGAUACCAGCCAUUUAGUCCAUAUCUAAAGAACUGAGGGGCCUGGGAAUUUAAACAUAUUAAUGCAGUCUUUGACACAUUAACUGAAUACAACUUGAUGUUCUUUAAAUACUUUUUAAAAUUAGGAAAAAGAAGUCACAAAAUGCCAAAUUAGAUCUGUAAAGUAGAUGUCUAAUAAUCUCCCAUGAAAACUCUUGCAAAACUGCCCUUGUUGGAUGAGAGGAAUGAGUAAAAGCAUUGUCAUAGUGAAGAAGGACUCUAUGGUGAAGUUUUUCUGGGCAUAUUUCUGCUAAAGCUUUGGCUAACCUUCUCAAAACACUCUCAUAAUAAGCAGAUGUUAUUGUUCUUUGGCCCUCUAGAAAGUCAUCAGGCCAAAUGUCUUGAGCGUGCCAAAAAACUGUUGCCACCACCUUUGUUGUUAUUGGUGGUCCCACUUUUGCUUUGACUGAAACAUUGUCACCUCUUGGUAGCCAUUGCUUUGAGUGUGCAUUGUCUUCAGGUUCAUACUGGUAAAGCCAUGUUUCAUCUCCUAUGACAAUUCUCCAAAGAAAUAUUUGGGGAUCUUUAUUACACUUCUUUAAAAUUUCCCUUCAAAGUUCUAUUUUUGUCUGCAGCUAAUGUAGGUGCCACAGUUUUGGCACUCAUGGGGUGGAAAGUUUGCUCAACUUUAAUUUUUCAGCCAGAACUGUGUAAGCUGAACCCACUGAGAUGUCCAUGGCCUUGCCAAUUGUUUUGAAUGUUAAUUGUGAUCCUCUUCAAUUAGGACAAACAAGAUUAAUUUUAUCUUCACAAAUUGAUAUGGAUGGUCUGCCAUUGCAGGCUCAUCUUCCACAUCAUCUCAUUCUUUCUUAAAAUGAGUUAUCCACUGUUAAACUGCUGAUUCAUUUGAAGCAUUGCCCCCAUAAUUUUUUGUAAAAUAUCAAUAAUUUCACAUUUUGAUCCAAGAUUCACCAUAAAUUUGAUAUUAGUUUAUGGUUCAAUUUUAGUAGAAUCAUGCGACUCUUUUCAAACUCAUACCUUAUCGUUCUCAGUGCCUCAGACUAGAUCCUUUUCAGACAUGUUGUGGCAAGUUAAUAUGAGUUUUAGAGCAAAUAGUUUUGAACUAUGCAUAGCUUUUUACUAUGCAUUUUCCAUGAACUUUUUGAAGACCUCUUGUAGAAACUGUUACACCAUUUCAAACAAGCAAUUGUACUCCUGCAUUUUUUAGAUUGUUAUAGUUUCAUCUUAAUCCCAAUUCUCCUUCCACCUAAUUUAAUUGCUCAAUAAAUGUACCUUCAAUUAAUAAACAGAUACCCAACAAUUUAAUUGUGUUGAACCUUGUAUGUAAUUACCAUAAAGGACAUUUUAAAGUUUGAGAGUAAAUACAAAUUUUAUGAGAACCCCAAUACCCAUACACACACUAAAAAUUAAAUGCUGCUGUGCCCUGAAAAUAUUUGUAUUCUUCAGUUCACAAAAUCGUCAUAUAAAAGAUCCUAUCACCACCACCCUCACUAAAAAGUUUUACUUCAUAUAAUUUUAAAAUACAAGUGAAAAGGAAAAGAGGCCCCAGUAUCAAUGUUCUUUUUGAUUAUUUAAAAUAAAAAAGAUAAGUAUUUGAUUUUCAUUUAUUUAUGUCACUUAAUGGUUUAGGCCUCAUUUGCCUCACUGAUUAUGUGAGCAUUCAAACUAAAUGAUUUCUAAGAUUCUUAAAGCAUAUUUGAAGGUAAAGAAAUAGUAUAAAGGAAAGUGCAAUGUAAAUAUUCUUGGUCCAACAGAUACGUUUUCAGAGUUUAAAGUCACAUUUUAAAUUCAAUUCUUCUGAUUUCCUUUUAGAAAAAAAAAGAAUGCCAUCCAUUAGAAACAAAGUUAUUUUGUGUAAACUUCUACAGAGAUCAGAAAUUAAAUCCCUACAAAACAUUUGGGCUGCUAUAACAGUUUCACAGCAAAAGAGGCAUCUAAUCAAACCACUACACAAUCAUAGAAAAGCAUUCAAAUUUUUGAAAAAUCUUCUCUCUAUAUAAUAGAAAAUAUUUUCUUAUUUCUUAAAAUGGCAAGAAGUGCGUGAACCACUUUUUUGUUAUAUAUUUAUCUGUAAAUAUAUCUACAUACCCAAUUUAACAUAUUUACAAUGGAAAAAUGUGACCAUAUGGAAAUUUAUAUCAAUUUUUUUUUAGUAGAAAUGAUGUGUCCCAAACUUCACUGAAAACUUAUAUGUUGGUAGUUCAAGUAGUUUCCAGUCUAUUUUGAAAUAAGCCCUUUCAAAAGUCACUAGACUAUGGUAAGGCAUAUAUCGCCUAACAAUCCACCAAAUAAAAUAUAAACAGAUAUUCCAUUUUUUGCCGACCCAAAGAAUAAACAUGCAGGGUUUAAAUAUGGGAAAAUAGUAUGUAAUUCUCUGUUCUGUACUUUCCAUCUCAACUACUAACUCGCCUUUGAGAUCUGGAAAGUCCCUGAUCCUUUCUCCCUUCCUGUAUCUUGGUGAGGCCCAACACUCAGGUAGUUUUGCUCCUGUUGUCCUGCUUGUGGGUGGGUACAGGGAGCAGAAGAGCUGACGGUGCCUCGUAUCUUCCUAUCCUGAGAGUCACUCAGCUUCAACUUCUCUAAGGAGCCCACUACUGAGAUAUUUUGCAAGCAGAAGCUAGCUGGUUCUUCUGUUUGUCUGAUACCCAGAUAAGUAAAUCUUCCUUUGUUUCAAUAUUUGCAAUAUUCAUGAUGAGUAUUUCUUAGGGGUUUCUGAGUUAAUGAUGGCAACUGCUUCUCUCUUCCACACCCUAGAACUUACACAACAGCAUACAGUAAACUUAGGAGCAACUCUGUCCUAAGAUAUCUGAGACGUGCUCAUAUAGAGUCCAGGCCUCUCUGCCCUAUGAGACUCCAUCCAUGAAAUACUCUAUUAUAAAUCUAACAGCUUUUCAUUUAUAAUUUAGUUAUGGUUCAUAACCUACCUCAGAGAAACAGCAUGAAAUUUAAUGAGAUCAGAUCUAGGGGACGCUAUGAGCUUCAAAGAAGAUGGACAGCCCGUAAAUACUGUACCAAGUAUUAGAAUGACAUCCUGAGUUUUCAACACAUCUUAAAAAAACGGUAGCUUUGAAAUCAGAAAUCAGUAAACCAUCCUCAAGAAUUCUUGCUUUUAGACUUUGCUAUUAAUCCUUAUACAUAUAUACUUUUGCAAAACUUAAUUACAUAAUACUGAUAUUAAACUGUUUUGUAUAUUUUUACUUAUAUUUAAAUAAUCAACAACAUUUUGCUGAUCAUCUAUUACAUGUCAAACAUUACCCUAGGCUGAAUAUACAGAAGAAAGGAAGAAAGGAAAAUGAUGUGAUUCUAGUUUUCAGGAGAGACUCAAUAUAAUUGAGAAAUGCUAGUGAUAGCUUUAUUAACACAUAAUUUUUGCAUAUGAAAACACUUUAUCCAGUUAUAACCAGGAAUCAGAAUUUCCUCUUACUAGUCAUUUCUUAAAUGAUUGUGCAGAAUUGCAGCACACGCUUGAAAACUAGAAAAUGUGAAACUCAGAAUGCUGCUAUAAAACUGCUAAGUGCCAUCUUUUAUCCAAAUAAAUAAAAAAAACAGGAACACGUGAUUGUAAGCACAGGCCAUUAACAGAGCAAACCAAUUCAAUACAACAUAAAUGAGUCAUGGGAACCUGCUAAAAAUACUGGAUUCUCUGAAGAAGCACGGAGCCACUGCGAGAACAAUCAAACAUCUGUUAUUUACAACAGGUUUACAAGCAGAGCCUGUGUGAGCUCAUCACAAAGGUUUACCAACACAACCACAUUUUUCAGAGAUGAAGAGCAUAAGAGCGUCUUUUUCUUAUUUCAACAGUGUUUUCUGCUGAUGUUCAUGUGCUCAUUGUAGUAACUGAAAAAUAAGAAAGCAAUCCCUUGGCUCUUUUUUGAAGAAAAGCUAAGUGGAAGUGCUUUGGAAUACACUGCAAGUCAGAACAAACGCAACUGCAGACAGUCCUAUUACAGCAUCCACCCUCCCACUUUCCAGCACUGCACUGUUUUACUAUUCUCUCUGGGUCACAGAAUUAUAUGGAUAAUGAUGCUGCAAAUCCUUACUUAUGAAAGCUCGACUCAACCGAAAUGAUGUUUGGAAUUAUUUGGCUUCACCCUAUAAUUUUUAAUGAGUCACAGAAAAUGCAAAAUAGUCACUCUUAAAUACUGCAUCCUUUCAACUUCACCAUCUACUAUUGCAGAGUGAUAAAUUUAUGCUUUUAGUUGAGAGUCACAUUAAAAUUACCGAAAAGGUUAGUAAGAUCAUCUCCAGAGAAUUUGCUGGCGUGCAUAAAGGUGAAUUCAUUAUACAGAAGAAUGUACUAAAACAGGCAUCCACUAGGUGAAUUUAAAUGUGGUCUUACUGGUAGGUAAAAGUCCUACUGGUAAAACUAUUCUUUUAUAUACACUGUACAAACAUGACACACAAGCACAUACACACACACACAGGCACACACAUACAAGAACUUAGGAAGGGCCAUAGUAUCUCACUGAUCUCUUCAAGAAAAGGGAACGUAAGGUAAGGGACUUAAGACCUCUCAUAAAGAUGAACUAGAGUUGAAUCCCCUUUUCUCAUGGAAAUCAGUGAUGAGACCAUCUUUUUUCGAGGCUAUAAUAGUAAAUGAACUAAAGUAUGUAAAUGCCCAACAUCUCUCCUGAGAUAUGGAAGGCGUUACACUCACAGCUGCCAGAUAUAGCCUGCUUGUUUUUGUUCUGAGAAUCUUUACUAUCAUUGUCAUAUCCCAUGGGCCACCUAUAAUUUCUUACCAACUCUUCUGAUUACAGAGCCAAGAUCUGUUCAAUGUUCUUCACAACCACUGACGGUAUUCGUUGUUACAGUCUGAGGAGCAUUUAUGGCACGGCGCUGCUCACAUUGGGAUUACAGCCUAAAAACCCUAAGACAUUUUCUGAAAACGAUUGUUAAGCAAGGUCUCCUCUACUUGCUUAAGAGUAAUACCCUGUGCUGGCAGAGUUAAAAUUUGGAAGUGAGGUUUUCAUCUACACAGUCAGUCAAGACAUUUUUGGGUCUUGAUUCCAUUUUAUCUAGCCUCUUCUCCAUCCUUUCAGGUACUCUUGGGGACAAUACACCUGGGAUCAUUUCCCAGCUCUGUUGAUUUUUAAUUCUGUCACUUUGAAACAGUCAUUGACUCUCUCAGAUGUGCAACUUCCUUAUCAAUCGAGAAAGUUCUGUGUAUGUUCAAUUCAAUUUUAAUAGAGUAGAACAAAAGUAAAUACAAUUUUCACUGAAAUUUUAUAAGAUUAUUAUUUAAAACAAUGAAUAAGUACUUAAAAUAGUAAAGAAAAUUUGAGGAAUAUGGAAGUGGCACUUUCUUAAGAUGAUAAUAUAUCUUGUGAACUCAUAAUUAAAAUAUUGGCACCAGUAAAUAAACGAGCAGAAAUAUCCAUGAUAAAGAAUACAGAUGAUAAAAACAGUAAGAAUUAAACAGGGGAGUUUUUCAUAUAAUAAAAACAUUUAAAAGCAGAAGGAAAAAACUGAUUAUUCAAAGUUGGGGCUGAGACAACUGGAUAAUCAUUUGAGAAUGAAAGAAUUAGAUCUAUAGCUCACAAGCAUAUAGUCUCUUAUGCUGCAUUAAAUUUGUAAUGUAAAAAUGAUUAGAAGAAAAUCAAGGUACACAGUUUUAUAUAAGCUGUAUGGGAAAGGCCUUUGGAAUCUAAUAUCAAAGGUAGAAACAAUUACACAAAAGACUGAUCAAUGUUAUAUGAAGUUUAAAACUUUUAUAUAAAAACAUACUUUAAAAGUUAAAAAGUCAAUACAAUAUUUGCCACAUAUAGGUAAAAAAAAAAAAAGACUAUUUUUGAAAGAUAAAUUAAAUAUGGUAAUACACAAGACCAGAAAAUCCACAAAAAACAACUAUGACAAAUAAUUACAUGAAAAAUGUGCACACACAGUACAGUAGUGACACAGGACAGGUUGAGACAACAUUUCUUGUUCAAAAGAUUGUCAUAUGCCUGGAAGAAUACACAUCAAAAUGUGAGUAGGUUCCUGUUCAUAGGAAAGGUGUUUUUUUUUUUUUUAACUAUAGUUUUCUAAGCUUUUAUUUUUCAAGAGACAUAAUGGUUGUUAUAAUAAAAACAAAAGAAAUCCUACUUCUAUUAUAGGGGUAAAAUUGCCUUGAAAAAAUCUACCUCCUUGGUUUGUAAGAAUGAUAAACAGAAAAAGGCUGUGACAGCCCUAACAUGACGCCUGCAAAGUAGGCAUUCGGAGAAUGUGAGCUCCAUUUUCCUGGACACUCCAGGGUCCCCAUGAGCAGGUAUUCAUCAAUGAAUACUGUUGAGUUCACCAACCAGCUAUGAAGCAUCGUUAAGCCUGUUAUCCAAUCUACUUCUCUCCAAUCCUUCCAUAAAUGUGUCAUGAGAGUUUCUCAAAUAGCUUGCCAUAAUAGAGGAAAAUUGACUAUUAUAGCUAUUAUACUUUCAAUCUAAUAAUAUCUCACACAUAUUUGUCAAGCCGUUUACCUUUGAAAAAUUGAUGCAACAUGUAUUAUCUUAGUAUGCUGUGGUUCAGGUCUUAUCCAUAGAGUCUAGCAUAGGGUAGCACAUGGGGGAGGUACUCGUUAUAGACAGGGAGGUGAAAACACAGUCCUAGUAUCAAGUAUAGUCAGGCCUGCCUCAUCCUCAGCACCACUGUGUAGAAAGAAAACUGAUAGAGAAGAUACUGGGCGAGAAGAGAGUCAAGGCCUCCCGGCUGGGAAACUUGGUUAUAGCUAACAUAACCCUUAACUGAACAAGCAAUUAUUGCCUUUUUAAAAUCUGUGAUUCUUUCACAUUAUUCUUUUUCUCAUUACUUCAACAAUUUCUUCUCUUUACUAUAACCAUCACCAGUAUCAGCAAACAAUUCUACCAAUACUUUGACUCCUUCACAAACUCUCUACUUAAACUCCAGUGACCUAAGGUGAUUUUAAAUUACCUGAAGCAAAAAAUUCUCCAAUGUCACCCGUGACCUGAGAACUGUGGACUUUGUUGUCCAACAUGAUGCUCAUCAAUGUUUGGCAUCAGUUACUACCUCGUCUUCACCUUCCCCCCCUACCCCCAUACUUCCCUUUUCCUUCAUUGGUUCUUCCUUUGUUCCUUCACAUGGAGAUAUACUUAUUCCCCCAAAUCUAGAUGCUCACUAGAUGCUGUGUCAACAGCAAAUGCACACCCAUAUCCAACAACAAAGGCACCUGUAGCAUCUACACCAAAAACACCUAUUCUGUUUCCUCUCCUUUCUGUACAGGUGCAGCUGCAUGUUUGGACUUUUAUCUUGUGUUCUAAAGACCUUCCAAUAGCUUAUUGCUAAGCCUCCUUUUCCUUCCCCUUCUCUUUCCUAUCUUCUUCUCUGCUGUUAAAGGAUUAAUGUAAUGAGCUUUAGUUCUCAGGGGAAAUGCUUUAAUGAAAUUAGUAGAGGAAAAUAAAUAACCACAAAAUAUCCUGAUGCACCUCACCCCUCUUGUAGCCAGGGACUGGAACUUGUACCAGGGAAGCAAUCCAGUCGCUGACUUCUGGAAGGUGGAGGGGGUAUUGUGUUUACCACAGGAAAAUGUUAGUGAUUAUGCCCAAUUUGACAAUAUAGUGCUAGUCCUAUUCUCUCAAGAUCAAGCCAUGAAUAGGAAUCCAUGAGCUCAGAUCACAGC